ACUGAUCAAUGAUGACACACUUUGUAAUGGUGACUGCUGGAUGAAACUUGCGGAUAUGGGACUGAGAUCAGCG